GAUGAACGCUGGCGGCGUGCCUAAUACAUGCAAGUCGAGCGAACAGACGAGGAGCUUGCUCCUUUGACGUUAGCGGCGGACGGGUGAGUAACACGUGGGUAACCUACCUAUAAGACUGGGAUAACUUCGGGAAACCGGAGCUAAUACCGGAUAAUAUUUCGAACCGCAUGGUUCGAUAGUGAAAGAUGGCUUUGCUAUCACUUAUAGAUGGACCUGCGCCGUAUUAGCUAGUUGGUAAGGUAACGGCUUACCAAGGCAACGAUACGUAGCCGACCUGAGAGGGUGAUCGGCCACACUGGCACUGAGACAGGGUCCAGACUCCUACGGGAGGCAGCAGUAGGGAAUCUUCCGCAAGGGGCGAAAGCCUGACGGAGCAACGCCGCGUGAGUGAUGAAGGUCUUCGGAUCGUAAAACUCUGUUAUUAGGGAAGAACAAACGUGUAAGUAACUGUGCACGUCGUGACGGUACCUAAUCAGAAAGCCACGGCUAACUACGUG
rnacentral:rRNA from 1 species